UACGUAGGGGGCAAGCGUUGUCCGGAUUUAUUGGGCGUAAAGAGCGUGUAGGCGGUUAGGGAGGUCCGUUGUGAAAGCCCCGGGCUCAACCUGGGAAUGGCAAUGGAAACUGGCGGGCUAGAGUGUGGCAGAGGGGGGUGGAAUUCCGCGUGUAGCAGUGAAAUGCGUAGAGAUGCGGAGGAACACCGAUGGCGAAGGCAGCCCCCUGGGCUGACACUGACGCUCAGGCACGAAAGCGUGGGGAGCAAACAGG
rnacentral:rRNA from 1 species